AGAGUUUGAUCCUGGCUCAGAUUGAACGCUGGCGGCAUGCCUAACACAUGCAAGUCGAACGCGAAAGCACCUUCGGGUGUUAGUAGAGUGGCGGACGGGUGAGUAAUGCUUGGGAAUCUGCCUAGUAGUGGGGGAUAAUUUGGGGAAAUUUGAGUUAAUAUUGUAUAUGUUUUAUGGGGGAAAGAUUUAUUGCUAUUAGAUGAGCCCAAGUCAGAUUAGCUAGUUGGUAGGGUAAUGGCCUACCAAGGCGAUGAUCUGUAGCUGGUCUGAGAGGACGAACAGCCACACUGGGACUGAGAUAUGGCCCAGACUCCUACGGGAGGCAGCAGUGGGGAAUAUUGGACAAUGGGCGAAAGCCUGAUCCAGCAAUGCCGCGUGUGUGAAGAAGGCCUGCGGGUUGUAAAGCACUUUCAGUUGGGAAGAUUAUGAUGUUACCAACAGAAGAAGCACCGGCUAACUCCGUGCCAGCAGCCGCGGUAAUACGGAGGGUGCAAGCGUUAAUCGGAAUUACUGGGCGUAAAGCGCGCGUAGGCGGCUUGGUCAGUCAGAUGUGAAAUCCCUGGGUUUAACCUGGGAAUUGCAUUUGAUACUGCCUGGCUAGAGUAUGGUAGAGGGAAGUGGAAUUCCAGGUGUAGUGGUGAAAUGUGUAGAUAUUUGGAGGAAUACCAGUGGUGAAGGUGACUUCCUGGACCAAUACUGACGCUGAGGUGCGAAAGCGUGGGUAGCAAACAGGAUUAGAUAUUCUGGUAGUCCACGCCGUAAACGAUGUCAACUAGCCGUCGGACUCAUUUAAGAGCUUGGUGGCGCAGCUAACGCGAUAAGUUGACCGCCUGGGGAGUACGGCCGCAAGGUUAAAACUCAAAGGAAUUGACGGGGGCCCGCACAAGCGGUGGAGCAUGUGGUUUAAUUCGAUGCAAUGCGAAGAACCUUACCAGCCCUUGACAUCCUCGGAACUUUCUAGAAAUAGAUUGGUGCCUUCGGGAACCGAGUGACAGGUGCUGCAUGGCUGUCGUCAGCUCGUGUCGUGAGAUGUUUGGUUAAGUUCCGUAACGAGCGCAACCCUUGUCCUUAGUUGCCAGCAUUUUGGAUGGGAACUUUAAGGAGACUGCCGGUGAUAAACCGGAGGAAGGUGGGGAUGACGUCAAGUCAUCAUGGCCCUUAUGGGCUGGGCUACACACGUGCUACAAUGGCCGGCACAGAGGGCAGCGAACCCGCGAGGGGGGGCUAAUCUCAUAAAACCGGUCGUAGUCCGGAUCGCAGUCUGCAAUUUGACUGCGUGAAGUCGGAAUCGCUAGUAAUCGCAGAUCAGAACGCUGCGGUGAAUACGUUCCCGGGCCUUGUAUACACCGCCCGUCACACCAUGGGAGUGGGUUGCAAAAGAAGUGGGUAGCUUAACCUUCGGGAGAGCGCUCACCACUUUGUGAUUCAUGACUGGGGUGAAGUCGAAACAAGGUA
rnacentral:rRNA from 1 species